rnacentral:rRNA from 1 species
GAUGAACGCUGGCGGCAGGCCUAACACAUGCAAGUCGAGCGGUAGAGAGAAGCUUGCUUCUCUUGAGAGCGGCGGACGGGUGAGUAAUGCCUAGGAAUCUGCCUGGUAGUGGGGGAUAACGUCCGGAAACGGACGCUAAUACCGCAUACGUCCUACGGGAGAAAGCAGGGGACCUUCGGGCCCUUGCGCUAUCAGAUGAGCCUAGGUCGGAUUAGCUAGUUGGUGGGGUAAUGGCUCACCAAGGCGACGAUCCGUAACUGGUCUGAGAGGAUGAUCAGUCACACUGGAACUGAGACACGGUCCAGACUCCUACGGGAGGCAGCAGUGGGGAAUAUUGGACAAUGGGCGAAAGCCUGAUCCAGCCAUGCCGCGUGUGUGAAGAAGGUCUUCGGAUUGUAAAGCACUUUAAGUUGGGAGGAAGGGCAGUAAAUUAAUACUUUGCUGUUUUGACGUUACCGACAGAAUAAGCACCGGCUAACUCUGUGCCAGCAGCCGCGGUAAUACAGAGGGUGCAAGCGUUAAUCGGAAUUACUGGGCGUAAAGCGCGCGUAGGUGGUUCGUUAAGUUGGAUGUGAAAUCCCCGGGCUCAACCUGGGAACUGCAUCCAAAACUGACGAGCUAGAGUAUGGUAGAGGGUGGUGGAAUUUCCUGUGUAGCGGUGAAAUGCGUAGAUAUAGGAAGGAACACCAGUGGCGAAGGCGACCACCUGGACUGAUACUGACACUGAGGUGCGAAAGCGUGGGGAGCAAAC